CUCGCGGGAGAGACCGGGGCCUUCGGGACCUCGGAGCCGAAGGCGCAACCGCCCCGGAAACGCUCAGGCAAAAGGACCGCGCGG
rnacentral:ncRNA from 1 species